rnacentral:rRNA from 1 species
GACGAACGCUGGCGGCGUGCUUAACACAUGCAAGUCGAGCGGAGCGGCGAACGGGUGAGUAACGCGUGAGUAACUGCCCCCCUCUCUGGGAUAAAAGUUGGAAACUGCUGCUAAUACCGGAUAGUGGGGGAUGACUCGCGUCCUAUCAGCUUGUUGGUGGGGUAGUGGCCUACCAAGGCUACGCCGGGUAGCCGGCCUGAGAGGGCGACCGGCCAAGUUGGGCUGAGAUACGGCCCAAAUUCCUACGGGAGGCAGCAGUGGGGAAUAUUGCAAAAUGGGGGAAACCCGUAUGCAGCAAGGCCGCGUGUGUGAUGACGGCCUUAGGGUUGUAACCCGCUUUCAGCCAUGAAGCGGUAGUGGCAGAAGAAGCACCGGCUAACUACGUGCCAGCAGCCGCGGUAAUUC